rnacentral:rRNA from 1 species
GACAGAGGACUCGAGCGUUAGGCGGAAUCACUGGGCUUAAAGCGGGGGUAGGCGGUUCGGAAAGUCCUUUGUGAAAUCCCACAGCUUAACUGUGGAACUGCUUGGUAUACUGCCAGUCUUGAGCCACUUAGGGGCUACCGGAACAAAUGGUGGAGCGGUGAAAUGCGUAGAUAUCAUUUGGAACGCCAAUGGUGAAAACAGGUAGCUGGGAGUGUGCUGACGCUGAGACACGAAAGCCAGGGGAGCAAACGGG